rnacentral:misc_RNA from 1 species
UGUGGGAGCGGGCUUGCUCGCGAAAGCGGUGGGUCAGUCAAUGAUGAUGGUGACUGAUACAUCGCAUUCGCGAGCAAGCCCGCUCCCACA